rnacentral:lncRNA from 1 species
GUGUGAGCACGUGAGAAUUACUUUUAACUUCAACAUGAAACGUAGUGCAAAAGAGAAAUAAAAACAAAGCAAAGAGAGUUGUGAUGGAAGUGAUAAAGCAUCCCUUCAUCAUUUAAUCAAAGGUCUCCGUUUGAAUCAUGGUGGGUGUGGUGGUGCUUUGUCAGGAGUACUUUAUCCCUUAAUGAGUUAAUUGGAGGUUUAAGACUUUAAACCUUAAUUAUCUGAAGGCACC